CUAAGUUUGAUGGCGACCGGCGCACGGGUGAGUAACACGUAUCCAACCUGCCGAUGACUCGGGGAUAGCCUUUCGAAAGAAAGAUUAAUACCCGAUGGCAUAGUUCUUCCGCAUGGUAGAACUAUUAAAGAAUUUCGGUCAUCGAUGGGGAUGCGUUCCAUUAGGUUGUUGGCGGGGUAACGGCCCACCAAGCCUUCGAUGGAUAGGGGUUCUGAGAGGAAGGUCCCCAACAUUGGAACUGAGACACGGUCCAAACUCCUACGGGAGGCAGCAUG
rnacentral:rRNA from 1 species